rnacentral:rRNA from 1 species
UACGUAGGAGGCAAGCGUUAUCCGGAAUUAUUGGGCGUAAAGAGUGCGUAGGUGGUUACUUAAGCGCGGGGUUUAAGGCAAUGGCUCAACCAUUGUUCGCCCUGCGAACUGGGUUACUUGAGUGCAGGAGAGGAAAGCGGAAUUCCUAGUGUAGCGGUGAAAUGCGUAGAUAUUAGGAGGAACACCAGUGGCGAAGGCGGCUUUCUGGACUGUUACUGACACUGAGGCACGAAAGUGUGGGGAGCAAACAGG